rnacentral:rRNA from 1 species
UGGGGAAUAUUUCACAAUGGGCGAAAGCCUGAUGCAGCGACGCCGCGUGAGGGAUGACGGCCUUCGGGUUGUAAACCUCUUUCAGCAGGGACGAAGCGCAAGUUACGGUACCUGCAGAAGAAGCACCGGCUAACUACGUGCCAGCAGCCGCGGUAAUACGUAGGGUGCAAGCGUUGUCCGGAAUUACUGGGCGUAAAGAGUUCGUAGGCGGUUUGUCGCGUCGUUUGUGAAAACCAGCAGCUCAACUGCUGGCUUGCAGGCGAUACGGGCAGACUUGAGUACUGCAGGGGAGACUGGAAUUCCUGGUGUAGCGGUGAAAUGCGCAGAUAUCAGGAGGAACACCGGUGGCGAAGGCGGGUCUCUGGGCAGUAACUGACGCUGAGGAACGAAAGCGUGGGUAGCGAACAGG